CCUACGGGUGGCAGCAGUGGGGAAUAUUGCACAAUGGGGGAAACCCUGAUGCAGCGACGCCGCGUGAGCGAGGAAGUAUUUCGGUAUGUAAAGCUCUAUCAGCAGGGACGUAAAAAGACGGUACCUGACUAAGAAGCCCCGGCCAACUACGUGCCAGCAGCCGCGGUAAUACGUAGGAUGCGAGCGUUAUCCGGAUUUAUUGGUGUUAAAGGGUGCGUAGGCGGAAGGUUAAGUCAGCGGUCAAAUGUCGGUGCUCAACACCGGCCUGCCGUUGAAACUGGUCGUCUUGAGUGAGCGAGAAGUAUGCGGAAUGCGUGGUGUAGCGGUGAAAUGCAUAGAUAUCACGCAGAACUCCGAUUGCGAAGGCAGCAUACCGGCGCUCAACUGACGCUGAGGCACGAAAGCGUGGGGAUCGAACAGGAUUAGAUACCCCAGUAGUC
rnacentral:rRNA from 1 species